AACAAACGCUGGCGGCGUGCCUAACACAUGCAAGUCGUACGAGAAAGUCGGCUUCGGCCGAUGAGUACAGUGGCGCACGGGUGAGUAGCGCGUGGGUAAUCUGCCCCCCGGUCAGGAAUAACCCGCCGAAAGGCGGGCUAAUACCCGAUAACACUGACGCUCCGCGGAGCGUCUUUCAAAGAAGGCCUCUGUUUACAAGCUUUCGCCGGAGGAUGAGCCCGCGUACCAUUAGCUAGUUGGCAGGGUAAUGGCCUACCAAGGCUACGAUGGUUAGCUGGUCUGAGAGGAUGGUCCCCCACACUGGUACUGAGACACGGACCAGACUCCUACGGGAGGCAGCAGUGAGGAAUAUUGGUCAAUGGGCGGAAGCCUGAACCAGCCAUGCCGCGUGCGGGAUGAAGGCCCUACGGGUUGUAAACCGCUUUUCCCCGGGAAGAAUAAGCCCCCGCGGGGGUGAUGCCGGUACCGGGGAAGUAAGGAUCGGCUAACUCCGUG
rnacentral:rRNA from 1 species